rnacentral:rRNA from 1 species
GACGUAGGAAGCAAGCGUUGUCCGGAAUUACUGGGCGUAAAGAGCUCGUAGGCGGGAUCGUAAGUCGGGUGUGAAAGCCCUCGGCUCAACCGAGGAAGUGCAUUCGAAACUGAGGGGCUUGAAUACUGGAGAGGAUGGCGGAAUUCCCGGUGUAGAGGUGAAAUUCGUAGAUAUCGGGAGGAACACCAGCGGCGAAGGCGGCCAUCUGGACAGAUAUUGACGCUGAGGUGCGAAAGCGUGGGGAGCAAACAGG